UUCUUUUUCUUUUUUCUAUUUUCUUUUAGACAAUUUUUAUUAACAAUUUUUAAAUUUAUUUUCGGUUUUUUUAUGGUGAAAAUGUCUGCUAACACGUCUUGCUGAAGCCAACUAUACACGUGUUCCACACCAAUCUAUUACCCAAUAAGAAUUGGAUCGAUCACCAUCGGCUCUUAACUCGAUAUCCCACCGCCCGCCCAUCGAUCGAUUUCACCCCCGAUUGAUUGUUUUCUUCUCCAUUUGUUAUCUUUUUCUGCUUCCUCCACCGCCUGAUCUACUGCUAUCACCCACCACCUGCAUCGCCGCUGGCCACCCCUCAUCGCCAGCUAUUUCGCCCCGGUGGCCUCCAACACGGAGACUUGAGUGGGCAUGAAUGGUUGAUCGACAAUGGAAGGUUCUUUCCACCUCUCACCUCACAGUCCUCAUCACGGGAACCCUCUGUUUCUCCCUCUUCCAGUCCAUCUCUUGAUCCUUUUCAAAGAGGCGCUUCACCGGCCAUCACCCUAUUUUUUCAUCUGUUAUCUCCUCACAAAACCCACCCUACCACCGCCACUGUUAGCCAAUGCCAAUCGAAUAUUCACAGAUACAGAUAUACUUCAUCGGCCUUCCAACCGUCCAACAUAUGAAUUAUACGCAUCUUCUCUUUAGCCGCUGUGAAACGACUCUCCUUCCGGCGGAUCUGUCUUCCCGUCAGGAUUAUGUGCGUUUCGUUGUUCAAGAUUGUGUAUCCUUCAACCCAGAAAAAAUAUUAGCCAGAAAUUACAUAAAGAUUUCCCUGUUGAAACAGAAGAUCAGCCUGAAGACUACAAAUUCAUGUUUGAUUUUCAGCUUAAAUGCUGUUAGACAGUGGACAUGAUGGAGGAAUAGUCACCCGAGAAAGCAACAACUUUUGUUUUCCUAUCAGUUGAAGGACCACUAAUUCUAAAGUAAAUAUCUACAAAAGCUUCUUAUAUGUCCAAAUUAGAAUCGGUUCGUUUCAAGUCAACUCAGUCAACAGCUGUUCGGUUCUAACCCGGUUCAUGCCUUUUUCCUAAAGAGAAAAACAACAUCCUUGCACUGAUUUUUGGAUUAUUUGACUUGAGUUUGAGCUAUAGUAUUCAAAUAUUUGAGAAUUCAUCAUGCCCACCAAGUCUGUCCCUUUAUGAAACAGUUGCAGCCACAUCAAAGAAGUGAUUGAUUUCAGGGGUUCCUAUCAUGGCAGUUACUAAAAAUACGAGUAUGGAAAUCAAUACAAAGUUGUGUAAAUGCUUGGUGGAGACCAUCAUUAUGCUGCUCUGCAUUUGUCAUCCAUUUAGAUAAGAUUUGUAUAUUAAUCAAAUACAACCCAAAAUUAUUCCCGAUUUACCAUUGGGUUUGGAACAACUAUACUUAUAGUUAGAUCAUGCUUUGUGUCUUAAACUUCACCGGUAUAAUUUGUAUAGGUAAAAAAACGAGUGACUACAAGAUAAGACAAAAUGUUCUCCUUUUGUGUAUUCCUAUGACAUAUCCAAUCCCGCAAAGCGGGAAUCUUCCCUAGUUUAGAUCUAAAAGGUA